GGGGAUGUAAAGGUUUCGACAGGGGUGCGUGUGGUAUAGAUAGCGAGUCGGCGUUCCAUGAGGCCGUUAAACGGUGGGAAAACAUUUAAACGCAGAAGAAAAUUUUGCAUUAGCUGCAUAAGCUACGUCCCUCAUACUUGUGCCUACCAAGUGUGAAUGGACGUCAAACCGUAGGCU
rnacentral:tmRNA from 1 species